UACGUAGGGAGCAAGCGUUUGUCCGGAAUCAUUGGGCGUAAAGCGCGUGUAGGCGGUUCGGUAAGUCCGCUGUGAAAGUCGGGGGCUCAACCCUCGAAUGCCGGUGGAUACUGUCGGGCUAGAGUGCGGAAGAGGCGAGUGGAAUUCCUGGUGUAGCGGUGAAAUGCGCAGAUAUCAGGAGGAACACCGGUGGCGAAGGCGGGUCUCUGGGCCGUAACUGACGCUGAGGAGCGAAAGCAUGGGGAGCGAACAGG
rnacentral:rRNA from 1 species